GCCACCAGUCUACUACGAGCCGGAGUACGGCUCCAGGCCAGUCCCAGUCUGAUUAUUGAGUCGAGUUUGGCGAUUUGACAUCAGCUACGGGUUCGAAGAUUGCUGCAAGCAACGACGUUGUGUUCGAGCAGAUCCCGUUGGUGCAGAGAGAGGUGGAACUUGAAGUGUUCAGUGAAAGCAGUGUUGUUCAAAGAGAGAAAGUACAUCCAUGUACACUACAACAUGAACCCCAUGCAAGUGAAGUUGAGAUUCAAGCAGGUCAACCCUGAGGAAGAAAACGUCAGAUGGUAUGUUUUGCUGACAUAGAGGCAGAGUCUGACUCCUCUCAUUGCUCUGAAGCUGUAUCAUGUACGUGUAGAAGGAACUUCAGCAAAAAGCGAAAUGCAGCCUGUCUGGAAUUAGCGGCAAUACUGAGAAUGAAAUGCUGCAGAAGUUAUUGUCUUCAUAAGAUAUAAAGAAUAGAUGCAAGGCCCGCAGAGGAUUUCAGAACAAGACUCUAGCAGAUCAGAGGCUAUGGAUUUUGCAGUACCUUAUUGAACAUCACAACUUUGUAAACAUGGAUGGAGACUCAUCCUUGGGAUUACUAUGACCCGCUUAUGGAAGAUGGAGUCAGGGUUAGCAGAAGGAUUGGUGACAUCUCGUCCAUCAAAUCACCAUCGUAAAGGACUUUGUUCUUUGUCUGUGAUGAUGUCAAUGGUGUGGCUGAGUGAAUUUGUCGAUAAGUUUGGAGAGAAACUGCCAACCAACAACAAAAUCCAUCUUCUUCAUGCCUUAUACAUGGAAAUGUGUAUCGGAUUAUGAAAGAGGAAGUAGAAGAGCAAGGAGGUUCUGUUUGUAGUCAGCAAUACUUCUUCCGCAAAUGGAGAAUGGAAAUGUCUCAUGUUACCAUUCCAAAGGUGAACCGGUUUUUGAAAUGCGACAUAUGCACCAAACUGAAAUCUUGCCUAGAGAAGACAACUGGCAGAGAAGAGAGACAAACUUUACUGCAAGAAAGAGAGUCACACCUUUUCCAGCAAAAGUCCAUCUAGGUACUAAGCAGAAAAGGCCUCAACAUCCAUUAUUAAAACUGGGAGAUAUGGUUGCAGUCUACUUAGAAGAGUUCAGUAAUGAGUGGCCGCGAGUGAGAAAAGU